UGUGGGAGCUGGCUUGCCUGCGAUGGCAUCAACUCGGUAUGUCAGAUACACCGCGGGGAUGCCAUCGCAGGCAAGCCAGCUCCCACU
rnacentral:misc_RNA from 1 species